AACAUAACCUUUAGCUAAACUAAAUAUUAAAGGCGACGCCUGCCCGGUGACAAUUAAACGGCCGCGGUACCCUAACCGUGCAAAGGUAGCGUAAUCACUUGUCUAUUAAUUGUAGACCUGUAUGAAAGGCAAAAUGAGGGCCUAACUGUCUCUUAUAACUAAUCAAUUAAACUGAUCUCCCAGUACAAAAGCUGAGAUAAAAACAUAAGACCAGAAGACCCUGUGAAGCUUAAACAAAACUAUCAAACCAUAUGAUAACUAAUUUCGGUUGGGGCGACCUUGGAAAAAAAAAGAACUUCCAAACACAAGCUUUAUAAUAGCAACAAAACUAAGGCCGACAGGCCAAACUACGACCCAGCAUAGCUGACUAAUGAAACAAGUUACUCCAGGGAUAACAGCGCUAUCUUCUUCAAGAGUCCAUAUCAAAAAGAAGGUUUACGACCUCGAUGUUGGAUCAGGACAUCCUAAUGGUGCAGCCGCUAUWAAGGGUUCGUUUGUUCAACGAUUAACAGUCCUACGUGAUC
rnacentral:rRNA from 1 species